rnacentral:rRNA from 1 species
GNUNGUGAUGAAUGUGAUAACGUAAGGGAAAAAAAUGAUAUUACCUUACUAUUAGUGUUGUCCAAAACUGGUGCCAGAAGACUCGGUAAGGCCAGAGACGCAAACGUUAGUCGUCCUAAUCAGGCGUAAAGGGUGUGUAGGCGGCUUUAAACAUUUAAUUUUCUUUAAAGAUCUGUAUUAUAUUUAAAUGUAUAAUAAUCUAAAAAUUUACUAAUUGAAGCUAGAAUCAAAUGAAGAUAAUCAGAAUAAUACUUAGGGUAGGGCCGAUAUCCGCAGAUUCUAAGGGGAAUACUAAUAGGCGAAGGCUUUUUAUCUAUUAAUGAUUGACGCUGAGAAACGAAGGUGAGAAUAGGAAAUAGGAUUAGAUACCCAGAUACCUCUCACUGUCAACGAUGAAUGGUGGUUGUUAGUUUUAAGAAAAACUGGUAACUAUGUUAACACGAUAACCAUUCCGCCUUGCGAGUACGGUUGCAAAACUGAAACCAAAAA